GACGAACGCUGGCGGCGUGCCUAAUACAUGCAAGUAGAACGCUGAAGGAGGAGCUUGCUUCUCUGGAUGAGUUGCGAACGGGUGAGUAACGCGUAGGUAACCUGCCUGGUAGCGGGGGAUAACUAUUGGAAACGAUAGCUAAUACCGCAUAAUAGUAGAUGUUGCAUGACAUUUGCUUAAAAGGUGCAAUUGCAUCACUACCAGAUGGACCUGCGUUGUAUUAGCUAGUUGGUGGGGUAACGGCUCACCAAGGCGACGAUACAUAGCCGACUGAGAGGGGGAUCGGCCACACUGGGACUGAGACACGGCCCAGACUCCUACGGGAGGCAGCAGUAGGGAAUCUUCGGCAAUGGACGGAAGUCUGACCGAGCAACGCCGCGUGAGUGAAGAAGGUUUUCGGAUCGUAAAGCUCUGUUGUAAGAGAAGAACGAGUGUGAGAGUGGAAAGUUCACACUGUGACGGUAUCUUACCAGAAAGGGACGGCUAACUACGUG
rnacentral:rRNA from 1 species